rnacentral:rRNA from 1 species
CCCUUAGAUGUUCUGGGCCGCACGCGCGCUACACUGAUGCAUUCAACGAGUUUCUUCCUGGUCCGAGAGGAAUGGGUAACCUUUUGAAAGCGCAUCGUGAUAGGGAUAGACUAUUGCAAUUAUUGGUCUUCAACGAGGAAUUCCUAGUAGACGUAGUUCAUCAGACUGCAUCGAUUACGUCCCUGCCCUUUGUACACACCGCCCGUCGCUCCUACCGAUUGAAUGCUCAGGUGAGCCAUUCGGACUUUCAUCAUGCUGGUUUCCAGUUUUGAUGAAGGAAAGUCUUGCGAACCUUAUCAUUUAGAGGAAGGAGAAGUCAUAACA